rnacentral:rRNA from 1 species
CGCAAUGGGCGCAAGUCUGACGGAGCGACGCCGCGUGAUUGAUGAAAUCCUUCGGGAUGUAAAAAUCUUUUAUGAGCGAGAAAGUUUAUUGAUCAGCUCAUGAAUAAGAGGUUGCUAAACUCGUGCCAGCAGCAGCGGUAAUACGAGUGCCUCAAGCGUUAUCCGGAAUCAUUGGGCGUAAAGGGUGUGUAGGUGGUUGUGUUAGUCUUCUGUCAAAUUCUUCGGCUUAACCGGGGGCUCGCAGAGGAAACGGCACAACUAGAGGAUAGGAGAGGUUUGCGGAACUCAUGGUGUAGGGGUGAAAUCCGUUGAUAUCAUGGGGAACACCAAAAGCGAAGGCAGCAAACUGGCCUACUCCUGACUCUGAGACACGAAAGCGU